UACGUAGGGACCGAGCGUUGUCCGGAAUCAUUGGGCGUAAAGAGCUCGUAGGCGGUCUGUCGCGUCGGCUGUGAAAACCCGGAGCUCAACUCCGGGCCUGCAGUCGAUACGGGCAGACUGGAGUUCGGCAGGGGAGACUGGAAUUCCUGGUGUAGCGGUGAAAUGCGCAGAUAUCAGGAGGAACACCGGUGGCGAAGGCGGGUCUCUGGGCCGAUACUGACGCUGAGGAGCGAAAGCGUGGGGAGCGAACAGG
rnacentral:rRNA from 1 species